GAAAGCCAACGGAGUCGACCCAGCGUUAUACAUGAUCGAGUGGUUUAUGUGCUGCUUUUGCCGAACACUACCCUGGCCUACAGUACUCCGCGUAUGGGACAUGUUCCUGUGCGAGGGCGUCAAGAUUCUGUUCAAAGUGGCGCUGGUGCUACUGAAAUUCGGAAUUGGGACGCCGUCACAGAUUAAACAGUACCCCGAUAUGCCUGCAAUUGUGACCCGGUUACGGAAUUUACCUGUAGAAAUUAUGGAGGAAGAGUUCUUGGUGCAAAAG
rnacentral:sRNA from 1 species